ACUCAAAGGAAUUGACGGGGGCCCGCACAAGCGGUGGAGCAUGUGGUUCAAUUCGACGCAACGCGAAGAACCUUACCUGGGCUCGAAAUGCAGGAGACCGGGGUGGAAACAUCCCUUCCCCUUAAAAGGCUGCUGCAUAGGUGCUGCAUGGCUGUCGUCAGCUCGUGUCGUGAGAUGUUGGGUUAAGUCCCGCAACGAGCGCAACCCUUAUCCCUAGUUGCCAUCGGGUCAAGCCGGGCACUCUAGUGAAACUGCCUCGGAUAACGAGGAGGAAGGUGGGGAUGACGUCAAGUCCUCAUGGCCUUUAUGUCCAGGGCUACACACGUGCUACAAUGGUCGGUACAAACCGUCGCAAACCCGUGAGGGGGAGCUAAUCGGAAAAAGCCGGCCUCAGUUCGGAUUGGAGUCUGCAACUCGACUCCAUGAAGCUGGAAUCGCUAGUAAUCGCGGAUCAGAACGCCGCGGUGAAUACGUUCCCGGGCCUUGUACACACCGCCCGU
rnacentral:rRNA from 1 species